rnacentral:lncRNA from 1 species
GUAAAUCACUAAUCUAAAAGGCAAAAUUGUAUUUAUUUUUUCCCCAGUGGGUGCAAGGUCCUAAUUGUAAAUAAUUGAAUUUCAACACCUGCAAAUAAGCCGUGUGCGCACAAGAGCCAUAAUGUGAACACAGAGAAAUGAAUUUAUUCCCCAUCUGGGUAUGUUUGCCCCCUGGCAAUGCAUUUCCAUACUCUUUAACUUGGGGACUGAAAUUUUAUAAAUUGACAGUUCUACUCACAAGACCUUUCAAGCAUCUUAUGUUUAUGAGAAUACAGGGGCGUCUGCAGAAUGAAUUCGAACACAUGGAUGAAUUAAAUUUGAAAACACAUGCGCGAGCGCGCGUACACACACACACACACACACACACACACACACAGAGGAAGAGGCAUACAUACCUCCUAGCCUAUGGCCCUUACAGAGAUUAUAUAGAACUAUUAACCUAUGCAUUUGGCCCUUGUUACAUUGUCUUCCAUAGGAUUCUUGGUUGAAGAAUUCUACUUUGGUUUAACCACUUACCAAGGAGUGGAGGGGAGAAAGAAAGAAAGAGAGAAAGAAAGAAAGAAAGAAAGAAAGAAAGA